rnacentral:rRNA from 1 species
GACGAACGCUGGCGGCGUGCUUAACACAUGCAAGUCGAACGGAAAGGCCCUGCUUUUGUGGGGUGCUCGAGUGGCGAACGGGUGAGUAACACGUGAGUAACCUGCCCUUGACUUUGGGAUAACUUCAGGAAACUGGGGCUAAUACCGGAUAGGAGCUCCUGCUGCAUGGUGGGGGUUGGAAAGUUUCGGCGGUUGGGGAUGGACUCGCGGCUUAUCAGCUUGUUGGUGGGGUAGUGGCUUACCAAGGCUUUGACGGGUAGCCGGCCUGAGAGGGUGACCGGCCACAAUGGGACUGAGAUACGGCCCAGACUCCUACGGGAGGCAACAGGGGGGAAUAAUGGACAAUGGGCGGAAGGCUGAAGCAGGAACGCCGCGUGGGGGAAGACGGCCUUCGGGUUGGAAACCGCUUUCGCCUGGGACGAAGCGGGAGGGACGGUAAUUGGUAAAGAAGCACCGGCUAAAUACGGG